rnacentral:lncRNA from 1 species
UGGAAGAGAUACUCCUUUGAUUUUUGUUUUUCCUCUUGGUCACAAGGUGAGUUGUAUCGGUGCUUGAUUAUGGAAAAGAUUUAUUUGGUGCACUAUGAGAAAAAGUCUUAGUUACCUUACCCUCUCCUUUCGUCCUUUUUUAACGUCACCAAGUGAGAGUUGGCUCAGAGCAAGAAGAAGUGGUGUUUCCUCUUUUUUAGUUUUUUCCAAAGGAAUAGGUAGUCACGUAUGUGAGAGAGACGUUGGAAAAAAAGUGAUGAAGAUGGAAAAAGAUCCCCAGUUAGGAUAUGACACAUUGUGAGCAUAGUUCAUGGUUAAGAAUAGGAAGCCAAUUGUGAGCAUAAUUCAUGGUUAAGAAUAGGAAGUCAAGAAAAGAGGAAUAUCUCUUAUUCAUCAUCGGUGAAAAUAGCAACAUCAAAAUAGGAGGAGUUUUCUAUUUAUUCAUUGGUAAUUGAGAUAUGAGAUAUUUUCUAUAUAAGAGAGAAAAGGGAGGGAAGAGAAAGUAUUAGUCAAAUCUAUCUUCGUAAACACAAUAGGGAUAGAUUGUUCAUCUUUGAGAGAGGAUAUUAAACACAAAGAGAGGUUUAUAUUUCUUUGUGAGAAUAUAUUCUUUUCUACGACAAGCUUGUGAUCUGUACAAGUUGUCGGAUAUUAUCCUUCAUAUAAUAAAGAGCGUUUCACCUUGAGGACGUAGGCAAUUUGCCGAACCUCGUUAAAUUCCUGUGUCUCAUAUUAACUUUACUGUUCCUUAUUUGACGAAGCUUCCGCAGUUUAACUCAUCACACAUGAUUAAGAUUUGUGUGCGAAUGUUGGUGUACAAAUCAUUCAGACCCUUGAGGAAGGAAGAAACAUACUCCAUAUGCUUGUAUUUGCGAAAGGCCUUAGCGAAAUCGCAGGUGCAAGAGAUUUGACAAGAACAUGAUGGGGUUAGGUGUAAAUCUUCAAGUUCAUCCCAUAAAGUUUUGAGUUCAGUGAAGUAUUGAGAGAGAGUUUUAUAAUCUUGUUUGAUUGAGUGGAUAUCACGAAGAAGAUCGGAGAAUCGAAAAUGGUUCCCUUUUGUAAAUCUUUCACGCAAAUCUUCCCAAAG